UCAUGGCACCAAACAUUGGUCACUGAUAUUAACUGGGCAGGGACCUAGACUGGCAUGUACACCUCAAAUGCAGUGGACAGUUACCCAUCCAACUAGCGUAAUCUGUGUUCAAUUACAAAGGCAACUGGCAGCAAGAAAUAACAGCAAGUGGACUGAUCAGAAUCAGAUCCCUUCUGCAUGUACACCACAGGCUGGGGCAGUGGCAUAUUAUCUCAGCUUUCAGGAGGCUUCUGCUCAGCUAGGGAGACAAGACUUACAUAGAGAACACAAGAAAUUGAACAAAAUUGGUUUUAUGUGCCAGAGGAUUUCAGGGACUGGAGAGAUUGUUAUGGAUGCUCACAGAAGGCUCAUGGAGGCUUGGACUGAGCCCAAAAGAAUGAAGACUGCUUAAGAAGGCAGAGGAGAAUGUUAGGAGAAAGCCACAUUCUAUGCAAAGGUUCCCUAGGUGCAAAUGCAUAAGGCAUGCUGGGAAGCUGAUGAGUAACUCAUCUGGCUAGGGAAGACUGCACUGAACACAUCUGAGGGAGAGAGGUGAUGAAAACAGUUUAAAGAAAAUCACUCCUUGUGGAUGCCAGAUGGAGUGCAUUGGGGCGCAACUGGAGUGAUUCUGCUCUCUAUACGAUUCUCUCCAACUACUUGAAGCUUCCGACAUGGCAGCUGUUUCCAAAACUCCAAUCUAUUCUCAAAAUGAAGUGGCAUCAUCAUCUGGGGCUUCUAGCUGGCUUGUCAACGUCUGCAGCUUGACUCUAUUGGUUGCUCUUUGAUAGAGAAGAAAAUGAUCUGAGGACUGCUUUUCAUUGAAAGGAAAACCUUGCCAAGGACUUCCUCACCCUCACUGUCUGCCUAAAUAAUUUCUUUUCAACUCAUAUCAAAAAGACAAGAGUUAUCAAGAUUCAUCAAGAAGCGUUCUGAAAAGAGUUAUUGAGUAUGUACCAUUCUCUUAUGCUUGAUUUUUCAAAAUGAAUCACAUUACAUUAUAGUCUCACUUUGUGUCUGUGACAGUAUUAUUCCAUGAUAAGCACUUCUGUAUUUGAAAAGUUAAAAGUACACCCUUCAGACAGCUAUCUACUUGACGGUAGAUUUUGUCUUACCUGCCCAGGCAUGUUUUACUGAAUUAAGGUCACAGUUACGUAAGGAACAUUCCAAACAUUUUUCUCCCACUGAAUUAAAAGGGGCAGCUCUAGCUUCUCCCUCUCCUAUUGGUUAGGAACUCUGACCGGAGCACCAGAGAGCUCUCCAGUCCUAGAACAGAGCAAGCUAUUCACAUGACCUGUGUGACGGUGUGACUCCUUCCCCCCUACCUCUCAGCACUCCGGCCCCUUAGUCAGCAUGACUCGACACUUGUAAACUAAGCAACCUGACUGAGAACUUUCUACUUGAACUUUGAUUUCAGGAGAUUGGCAUGUCUUAAAAUGUUGACCAUUUACUCAUUAACUGGGAAGACAGAAUUCCUCAAACGGUGAGGCAAAAUCUGCAGCUAAAAUUUUAACACAGGAAGGUUGUGUUAAUUCUCUUCGGUUUCCCGAGGUCUAUGAGAUUUUGACUCUAGGUUAUAAGAUCAUGAUACGUUAUGUCUUUGGGGUAUUUUUUCUACUUCUAAGACUCCCUAGCCAUUGGAAAAUCAUUUCUUCCUCUUCAGGCAUGUCCAUUUAUAAAAAUCAUAAAUUGUUGAUGAAAUAUCUAUUAUCACUGCAAAAAGAAUCCUUUAAAACCUGAUAGGCAAUUAUCUCAAGCCUGUAAUAAUACGAAUAUUCAACGUAUGAGGACUGGGCAUGAGCUGCUCUGACAACUCAAAGUUCUAGUAUGUGUUCUGAAGGCAUUUCCACCAAUGACUCAAAAUGGCACCCAUAGAUUACUUUACUCUGAAGAGUAUGAACUUCUGAUUUGGGUGCGUUCUUUCUUCCUCAAGGGAUUCAAGAGAGGUAAUGUGUCUUAUUCUUUUGUUUUGUGUUGAGUUGGAGUCUCAUUCUGUUGCCCAGGUUUGAGUGCAGUGGCAUGAUCUCGGCUCACUGCAACCUCCACCUCUGCCUCCCAGGUUCAAGCAAUUCUCUGGCCUCAGCCUCCUGAGUAGCUGGGAUUAUAGAUGCAUGCCACCACGCCCACCUGAUUUCUUACAUUUUUAAGAGAGACCAGGUUUUGCCAUGUUGGCCAGGCUGGUCUCGAACUCCUGGCCUCAAGUGAUCUGCCCACCUUAGCCUCCCAAAAUGUUGGGAUUACAGGCGUGAGCCACCAUGCCCGGUCAAGUGUCAUUCUUUAAUAUAAAAGUGAGUAAAGUGAACAGGAGGAGGUGGAAAUGUGUGGAGGGAAUGAAUGAAGUGUUAGAGUAGAAUAAAACAAAAAGCCAGCUUGUUUAGGGUGGAUAAAUGCUUGGCAUCCCCAUCGAAAGUCCUGGCUCCAAGUUCAGUUAAUUCCCAUCAUAAAAAUUAGUAAGAAUCAUCUUUAUAUUAUUUGUUAUUACAAACUUAAUUCCAUUCAUUUAAGUAUUCUGUUGCUAACAGCAAUCCCAAAGAGGUGACAGAACAAGUUACCCUCUGUGAGUUAAACCUAAAAUUAUUUCAUCAUUGUCCUUCUGCAUCAUUGUCCUUCUGCUCAGCGUUUUUUCAAAGCCAUGUUUAAUGCUGUCGUUGACGUACUUAUCUAAGCAUUUUUUUGGAAUCCACUUAUCUCAUAAAGAGCUUAGGUAAUUCAAUUGAGUACAAAAAUGUUUAGUUUUCUUGAUAAAGUAUCUUCAACUUUUUGUUUUUCUGGGAGUCCUGUCCAUUUGCUAUAGAUGAAUUAUUUUCCGUUCAGAGGUGAUUGCUUUCAAGUAAGGGCUAAAGGAAUCUGUCCCUAGUGGCUUUAUGUCAUUGCUACUUUUAGCUUAUAUUCAAACAAAUAGGGACAGACAACUUUCUCAAAGAUAGUGCUAUGUCACUAACUUCCAUUUACUAAUAUCUUUAAUUAGUAUUUAACUGGUAAAGAAAUGGCUAGUUAAAGCAAUUCCAACAGGCUUGUAAUGCCAUCUAGUGGACAAUCUUCAAAAUAUCAUCCCACGGGCCAUUUUCUUUCUAAGUAACCAUCAAAAUAAGUCUUUAUUCUUGAGGAAGUUGCCAAGCUACUAGCUAAUGAUUAUUGGUUGGGAUCAGUGAACCCUCAAAAAAAUCUAUGAUAGUAUUUGUAACAUUGAUGCAAUCUUGGGGAAAAUGAAGGUACCAUCUGUGCGCCUGGGGCUCCUCAUUCACUUGAUGGAGCUAAGCCAUUGGAAUGAAGUAUAGCUGCCCAAAGUGGUAAUUCUAUGCACUCAGUUCAUCUUCAUUGAUAGCGUAUCAUGUAUCUCAUGCCUACUAUGUGGGGAAUUUAAGUAUAAUCGCUCAGUUCUCUUGAGUAAUAAGUGUAAUAAAUGAUACUUUUACUACAUAAAAAUUUUAACAAUUUCACAUCCUUCUAAUAGCUACUUUGUGUAGAAUGUACUCAUAUUACACGUGAGGGAAGUAAGGUUAAUAAAAAAUAAGUGACUCGAGCAGAGUCAGAUACCUAUUAAAAAACUCAAAUUCAAUUAUAGAUUUUCAAAAUCUAAGUUCAUUGACUCUUUCAAUAAGCCAGUACCAUAUUGAAAGAAUGGUACUUCAUGACAAAGAAGAGCUUUUCUCAGAAAUGCAAAGAGGAUGAAACAUAUACUCACCUAUUAAUGUGAUUCAGUACUUUAGCAAACAUGAAAGGAAAGAAUGCCUGGUUAUCUCAAUAGAUGCAUAAAAAGCAUUUGAUCAAAUUCAACCCCAUUCUUGAUAAUUAAGUCUCAGUAGUAAAAGGGUGCUACCAUAAUGUGAUAAAGAUCAUAUACAAGAAUCCUACAACAAUCCUCACAUAUAUUGGUGAAAAUAAUUAUUUCCAAUUACAUUCAGUAAUAGGGCCAGUAUUUCUAUUAUCACUAUGAAUUAAACAAUGUACUUGGGGCAAUGCAAUAAGACAAAGAUUGAAUUGGUGUAAUUUGAUUGUUUACCCAAAAGGUCUGAAAGAAAUUAUUUUUAAAUCAGAGCUUAUGAGACAAUAAAUAGUGCCAAAGAUAACUGCAUAAACAUAGCUUUCCUAUACAAUUAGAAAUCAAUUCUAUAUACAAUAGGAAAGGAAAAAUACUGAAAACACAAAAGGCAAACUAAAACAAAAAAGCAAACAAGUUGAAAAUGCUUAGGAACAAACCAAGUGAGAAAUAUCCAAGUCAUGUGAAUAGGAGUUGAAUUUUAUCAAAUGUUUAGUAGCUAUUGAGAUGAUUACCUAUAUUUUGAAGUAUCUUUUGGGCUUUCUGACGCAAAUAUGGGGAUGUUAUCCAAUUACAUACAAUUUUGAAAUAAAAUGUCAUAAAAAGGUGAAAAGGAAGACACUUAGAAAAAAAUACUUGCAACAAUUCCGUUCAAAUAUCAUUUCCUAAAGAAAAGCUUCCUUUACAUUCAUGUCUUGGUCAUAUUGUAACUCUCUCAAUUGUUCUUCCCAUUAUUCAAAGCAUGUAUCUCACUUUAGAAUAAUGCCUUUAUUAUAGUGAUUAUCCUAUUGGUUAUUCAAUUAAUUUCUUCUAUGUGACUCUAAGUUCAUGAGAAUGGGGACUCUAAGCAUACAUUUUUGAAAACAAUAGGCCCAAUAAGUGGUAUUUGUUGAGUAAAUCAAUGGAAAUAAAUCUAGACUACAUAUAAAAUAUAUAUCAAUUACAUAUUUUAUAUAAAAUCAAUAAAGAUUAUGAUAUAUAUGUAGUCUAGAUUUUUUUCACCCUGUAAUAUAUGUAUAUGUAAAACGAUUAUGCUUAACAAAACAAACACCUCACAAUCAUAGGAAAGAACUAUGAACAGGUAAUUCUUAGAAGACUGCCAGUAAUAAACACUUCAACAAUUUUCAUCACACUAUUAAGAGAACACCUUUAGAUCUUAGCUUCUUCCUUGGCAUCUUAUAAUCUCAGAAAGCGUCAGACAAAUGUCAAUGUAGGAAGAAGCUGAAUUAUGAAAACAAAGUGUUAGAUAAGAAAAACUGAAUGGAAUGCCCAUCUUUUCCAUUCUCAUUAAUGGAAUAGAUUUACAGUGAAGAAGUAUUAAAACUGCAAUUACUUCUGCGCCAACCUAAUAGAUCAGAGAGGGAAAACAAGCCCCAGAAAAGUACAUUAUGGCUUCCUUAACAAGCUUAAAUCCCUGAAGUCAUAUUAGUUCCUAUGAAAGAUAAAAAAAAGUAGAUGGGCUUUUGUGCCCCACAUUCAAUAUGGAAAUCUAUGUGUGGUGGAUGUAGGUGUUAGUUAACUAUGAGAAAUAUUAGCUCAGAAGGUUAGUCAGUCCAUGGCAAUAUUAUUUGGUAACAUGGAGUUCAAUUAGUUAGAGACAGAGCCAGAAUUACACGUCAAUUACUCUGAUCGUAUGAGACCAGGAGUUACAUGGAUGUGCUGACAUGGCUGUGAAAGGUCACAGAUGAUUCAGGUUAGAAGUCUUGAUGGAGCUGUCAUGGCCUAGAGGAAGUAUCAUGACAGUUCCGGGGCAAAUGUCCCAGAUUGGAGAUAUAGUGGCUAUUUCAGACACCUUAGAAGACAUGGACAAGUGCCAGCCAAAGGUAACAUGGAACUGAAUCAUCUGGGAGGAAAAACAGGCCAUGACAAAAAUCAAGUCAACACCUAUAUGCAUCCACAGUUACAGUCUUGAUCCUCAACCCCCGUCCAAGAGUCAGGGAGGGCAGCCAUGAGCAGAGACCACUGAGGGCUUAGAAGACAAGGCAAGGGUCCAUAGGCUUUCCUCUCCAUCCCAUGAGGUCAGGUAAGCCUGUCUGUACAGCAUUUAUUUACCAAGUCCUUUCGCAUGGCGAGGAAAGAGGAAAAGUAGCCCUGAGGGCAAGUUAAAAUUUGAAUUGGCUACAUAAUUGCUUGAAACUGAAUUGUCUUUAACCAAAAGAUGAUAUGCCAUAAAUUGGCAAAUUUAAGUUAUACUUUCACCUAAGAUGAAAUCUGUUAUAGAAAAUAAAGAAAUAAAGAGGACUGACAUUACGUUAUGUUUCUCCCAGCAGAUUAGCAGAGACAAAAAGGAUUAGUACUAUUUAUUGUUGAUGGAAGUGCAAAGAAACUAUCUGAAAUACUCAGAAGUAUUAUACAUUGACUAAGUGUUCCUGAGAAUAGUCUCAAAAUUUUAAACGGCAUGCCCCACAUCUAUCAAUUUUAUUAUUAAUCUAUAUCUACUAAGGUGUUCUCAAAAUCAAUUACUGGAGCAGAUAUUUAAAAUUUAUAAUAAAGAUAACUGAUCUGCAUAAUCGC